rnacentral:rRNA from 1 species
AGUAACACGUGGAUAACCUACCUAUAAGACUGGGAUAACUUCGGGAAACAGGAGCUAAUACCGGAUAAUAUUUUGAACCGCAUGGUUCAAAAGUGAAAGACGGUCUUGCUGUCACUUAUAGAUGGAUCCGCGCUGCAUUAGCUAGUUGGUAAGGUAACGGCUUACCAAGGCAACGAUGCAUAGCCGACCUGAGAGGGUGAUCGGCCACACUGGAACUGAGACACGGUCCAG